AUAAUGGGUCAGCGACUUAUAUUCUGUAGCAAGGUUAACCGAAUAGGGGAGCCGAAGGGAAACCGAGUCUUAACUGGGCGUUAAGUUGCAGGGUAUAGACCCGAAACCCGGUGAUCUAGCCAUGGGCAGGUUGAAGGUUGGGUAACACUAACUGGAGGACCGAACCGACUAAUGUUGAAAAAUUAGCGGAUGACUUGUGGCUGGGGGUGAAAGGCCAAUCAAACCGGGAGAUAGCUGGUUCUCCCCGAAAGCUAUUUAGGUAGCGCCUCGUGAAUUCAUCUCCGGGGGUAGAGCACUGUUUCGGCAAGGGGGUCAUCCCGACUUACCAACCCGAUGCAAACUGCGAAUACCGGAGAAUGUUAUCACGGGAGACACACGGCGGGUGCUAACGUCCGUCGUGAAGAGGGAAACAACCCAGACCGCCAGCUAAGGUCCCAAAGUCAUGGUUAAGUGGGAAACGAUGUGGGAAGGCCCAGACAGCCAGGAUGUUGGCUUAGAAGCAGCCAUCAUUUAAAGAAAGCGUAAUAGCUCACUGGUCGAGUCGGCCUGCGCGGAAGAUGUAACGGGGCUAAACCAUGCACCGAAGCUGCGGCAGCGACGCUGAUGCGUUGUUGGGUAGGGGAGCGUUCUGUAAGCCUGCGAAGGUGUGCUGUGAGGCAUGCUGGAGGUAUCAGAAGUGCGAAUGCUGACAUAAGUAACGAUAAAGCGGGUGAAAAGCCCGCUCGCCGGAAGACCAAGGGUUCCUGUCCAACGUUAAUCGGGGCAGGGUGAGUCGACCCCUAAGGCGAGGCCGAAAGGCGUAGUCGAUGGGAAACAGGUUAAUAUUCCUGUACUUGGUGUUACUGCGAAGGGGGGACGGAGAAGGCUAUGUUGGCCGGGCGACGGUUGUCCCGGUUUAAGCGUGUAGGCUGGUUUUCCAGGCAAAUCCGGAAAAUCAAGGCUGAGGCGUGAUGACGAGGCACUACGGUGCUGAAGCAACAAAUGCCCUGCUUCCAGGAAAAGCCUCUAAGCAUCAGGUAACAUCAAAUCGUACCCCAAACCGACACAGGUGGUCAGGUAGAGAAUACCAAGGCGCUUGAGAGAACUCGGGUGAAGGAACUAGGCAAAAUGGUGCCGUAACUUCGGGAGAAGGCACGCUGAUAUGUAGGUGAAG
rnacentral:rRNA from 1 species